CACUAAGGCAUCUUUAUCUAAUUAAAGAAUUUCGGAAACGGAUAGGCUCGCGUGACAUUAGCUAGAUGGCGGGGUAACGGCCCACCAUGGCGACGAUGUCUAGGGGUUCUGAGAGGAAGGUCCCCCACACUGGAACUGAGACACGGUCCAGACUCCUACGGGAGGCAGCAGUGAGGAAUAUUGGUCAAUGGUCGAGAGACUGAACCAGCCAUGCCGCGUGAAGGUCACGGCCCUAUGGGUCUUAAACUUCUUUUGUAAGGGAGCAAUAAGUCUCACGUGUGGGAUGAUGAGAGUACCUUACGAAUAAGCAUCGGCUAACUCCGUGCCAGCAGCCGCGGUAAUACGGGGGAUGCAAGCGUUAUCCGGAUUUAUUGGGUUUAAAGGGUGCGUAGGCGGUCUGUUAAGUCAGCGGUGAAAUUUAGGGGCUCAACCUCUACCGUGCCGUUGAUACUGGCAGUCUGGAAUGCGGAUGCCGUGGGAGGAAUGUGUGGUGUAGCGGUGAAAUGCAUAGAUAUCACACAGAACACCGAUUGCGAAGGCAUCUCACGAAUCCGCAAUUGACGCUGAGGCACGAAAGCGUGGGGAUCAAACAGGAUUAGAUACCCUGGUAGUCCACGCUGUAAACGAUGAUGACUAACCGUCGGCGAUAUACAGUCGGUGGCCAAGCGAAAGCGAUAAGUCAUCCACCUGGGGAGUACGACCGCAAGGUUGAAACUCAAAGGAAUUGACGGGGGCCCGCACAAGCGGAGGAACAUGUGGUUUAAUUCGAUGAUACGCGAGGAACCUUACCCGGGCUCGAACGGCAGAUGAAUAUAUUAGAGAUAGUAUAGUCUUCGGACAUCUGUCGAGGUGCUGCAUGGUUGUCGUCAGCUCGUGCUGUGAAGUGUCGGCUUAAGUGCCAUAACGAGCGCAACCCUUGCCGUUAGUUGCCAUCAGGUUAUGCUGGGGACUCUAGCGGGACUGCCACCGCAAGGCGUGAGGAAGGGGGGGAUGACGUCAAAUCAGCACGGCCCUUACGUCCGGGGCGACACACGUGUUACAAUGGUGAGUACAGAGGGAAGCUACCUGGCGACAGGAUGCAGUAGCGGAUAACU
rnacentral:rRNA from 1 species